rnacentral:tRNA from 5 species
GCUGGGGUAGCUCAGCUAGUAGAGCACUCCCUUGGUAAGGGAAAGGUCGUGGGUGCAAUUCCCAUCCCCAGCU